rnacentral:rRNA from 1 species
AUUGAACGCUGGCGGCAGGCCUAACACAUGCAAGUCGAGCGAGCGGCGGACGGGUGAGUCAUGUCUGGGAAACUGCCUGAUGGAGGGGGAUAACUACUGGAAACGGUAGCUAAUACCGCAUACCAUCAGAUGUGCCAAAAUGGGAUUAGCUAGUAGGUGGGGUAAUGGCUAACCUAGGCGACGAUCCCUAGCUGGGCUGAAAGGCUGACCAGCCACACUGGAACGUGGACACGUUCCAGACUCCUACGGGAGGCAGCAGUGUGGAAUAUUGCACAAUGGGCGCAAGCCUGAUGCAGCCAUGCCGCGUGUAUGAAGAAGGCCUUCGGGUUGUAAAGUACUUUCAGCGAGGAGGCGUUACUCGCAGAAGAAGCACCGGCUAACUCCGUGCCAGCAGCCGCGGUAAUUC